rnacentral:tRNA from 1 species
AUUUAAGUAGCUUAAUUAAGAGUGUAACGUUGAAGGUGUUAAGGUGGCAUAUUGUUCUUAAAUA